rnacentral:rRNA from 5 species
GGGUUGUGAGGUUAAGCGACUAAGCGUACACGGUGGAUGCCCUGGCAGUCAGAGGCGAUGAAGGACGUGCUAAUCUGCGAUAAGCGCCGGUAAGGUGAUAUGAACCGUUAUAACCGGCGAUUUCCGAAUGGGGAAACCCAGUGUGAUUCGUCACACUAUCAUUAACUGAAUCCAUAGGUUAAUGAGGCGAACCGGGGGAACUGAAACAUCUAAGUACCCCGAGGAAAAGAAAUCAACCGAGAUUCCCCCAGUAGCGGCGAGCGAACGGGGAGGAGCCCAGAGCCUGAAUCAGCAUGUGUGUUAGUGGAAGCGUCUGGAAAGGCGCGCGAUACAGGGUGACAGCCCCGUACACAAAAGCGCACAUGCUGUGAGCUCGAUGAGUAGGGCGGGACACGUGGUAUCCUGUCUGAAUAUGGGGGGACCAUCCUCCAAGGCUAAAUACUCCUGACUGACCGAUAGUGAACCAGUACCGUGAGGGAAAGGCGAAAAGAACCCCGGCGAGGGGAGUGAAAAAGAACCUGAAACCGUGUACGUACAAGCAGUGGGAGCACCCUUUGGGGUGUGACUGCGUACCUUUUGUAUAAUGGGUCAGCGACUUAUAUUCUGUAGCAAGGUUAACCGUAUAGGGGAGCCGGAGGGAAACCGAGUCUUAACCGGGCGUUAAGUUGCAGGGUAUAGACCCGAAACCCGGUGAUCUAGCCAUGGGCAGGUUGAAGGUUGGGUAACACUAACUGGAGGACCGAACCGACUAAUGUUGAAAAAUUAGCGGAUGACCUGUGGCUGGGGGUGAAAGGCCAAUCAAACCGGGAGAUAGCUGGUUCUCCCCGAAAGCUAUUUAGGUAGCGCCUCGUGAAUUCAUCUCCGGGGGUAGAGCACUGUUUCGGCUAGGGGGCCAUCCCGGCUUACCAACCCGAUGCAAACUGCGAAUACCGGAGAAUGUUAUCACGGGAGACACACGGCGGGUGCUAACGUCCGUCGUGAAGAGGGAAACAACCCAGACCGCCAGCUAAGGUCCCAAAGUCAUGGUUAAGUGGGAAACGAUGUGGGAAGGCCCAGACAGCCAGGAUGUUGGCUUAGAAGCAGCCAUCAUUUAAAGAAAGCGUAAUAGCUCACUGGUCGAGUCGGCCUGCGCGGAAGAUGUAACGGGGCUAAACCAUGCACCGAAGCUGCGGCAGCGACACUGUGUGUUGUUGGGUAGGGGAGCGUUCUGUAAGCCUGUGAAGGUGUGUCGUGAGGCAUGCUGGAGGUAUCAGAAGUGCGAAUGCUGACAUAAGUAACGAUAAAGCGGGUGAAAAGCCCGCUCGCCGGAAGACCAAGGGUUCCUGUCCAACGUUAAUCGGGGCAGGGUGAGUCGACCCCUAAGGCGAGGCCGAAAGGCGUAGUCGAUGGGAAACGGGUUAAUAUUCCCGUACUUGGUGUUACUGCGAAGGGGGGACGGAGAAGGCUAUGUUGGCCGGGCGACGGUUGUCCCGGUUUAAGCGUGUAGGUGUGUGUUCCAGGUAAAUCCGGUUCACUUUAACACUGAGGCGUGACGACGAGGCACUACGGUGCUGAAGCAACAAAUGCCCUGCUUCCAGGAAAAGCCUCUAAGCAUCAGGUAACAUCAAAUCGUACCCCAAACCGACACAGGUGGUCAGGUAGAGAAUACCAAGGCGCUUGAGAGAACUCGGGUGAAGGAACUAGGCAAAAUGGUGCCGUAACUUCGGGAGAAGGCACGCUGACACGUAGGUGAAGUGAUUUACUCAUGGAGCUGAAGUCAGUCGAAGAUACCAGCUGGCUGCAACUGUUUAUUAAAAACACAGCACUGUGCAAACACGAAAGUGGACGUAUACGGUGUGACGCCUGCCCGGUGCCGGAAGGUUAAUUGAUGGGGUCAGCGCAAGCGAAGCUCCUGAUCGAAGCCCCGGUAAACGGCGGCCGUAACUAUAACGGUCCUAAGGUAGCGAAAUUCCUUGUCGGGUAAGUUCCGACCUGCACGAAUGGCGUAAUGAUGGCCAGGCUGUCUCCACCCGAGACUCAGUGAAAUUGAACUCGCUGUGAAGAUGCAGUGUACCCGCGGCAAGACGGAAAGACCCCGUGAACCUUUACUAUAGCUUGACACUGAACAUUGAGCCUUGAUGUGUAGGAUAGGUGGGAGGCUUUGAAGCGUGGACGCCAGUCUGCGUGGAGCCAACCUUGAAAUACCACCCUUUAAUGUUUGAUGUUCUAACGUGGACCCGUAAUCCGGGUUGCGGACAGUGUCUGGUGGGUAGUUUGACUGGGGCGGUCUCCUCCUAAAGAGUAACGGAGGAGCACGAAGGUUGGCUAAUCCUGGUCGGACAUCAGGAGGUUAGUGCAAUGGCAUAAGCCAGCUUGACUGCGAGCGUGACGGCGCGAGCAGGUGCGAAAGCAGGUCAUAGUGAUCCGGUGGUUCUGAAUGGAAGGGCCAUCGCUCAACGGAUAAAAGGUACUCCGGGGAUAACAGGCUGAUACCGCCCAAGAGUUCAUAUCGACGGCGGUGUUUGGCACCUCGAUGUCGGCUCAUCACAUCCUGGGGCUGAAGUAGGUCCCAAGGGUAUGGCUGUUCGCCAUUUAAAGUGGUACGCGAGCUGGGUUUAGAACGUCGUGAGACAGUUCGGUCCCUAUCUGCCGUGGGCGCUGGAGAACUGAGGGGGGCUGCUCCUAGUACGAGAGGACCGGAGUGGACGCAUCACUGGUGUUCGGGUUGUCAUGCCAAUGGCACUGCCCGGUAGCUAAAUGCGGAAGAGAUAAGUGCUGAAAGCAUCUAAGCACGAAACUUGCCCCGAGAUGAGUUCUCCCUGAGACUUAAAGUCUCCUGAAGGAACGUUGAAGACGACGACGUUGAUAGGCCGGGUGUGUAAGCGCAGCGAUGCGUUGAGCUAACCGGUACUAAUGAACCGUGAGGCUUAACCUUACAACGCCGAAG